ensembl:lncRNA
CAAGUGCAGAGACAUGGAGAAAUUACAGCUGUGGAAUUUGCACGAAUCACAUGAAACCAGCAUGAGAGUCAGCACCUCCAAGUCUGAGGUGCCUCUGUGUGGGAUGAGUAUUUUAGGAUCUUGCCUGUGUAGAUUCUCAGUAAUCCAGGCCAUGGUAAUCCCAGGAGCUUUCGUAGAAAGCAACUGGACUCCUCUUCAGUUUCUUCAAAGAACCUAAAAGAGCAUCCUUCCAGGAUCUUCAAGUUCCACAACCAGGCAGGCUUUGAGAAAAUUGCCCAGAAAAUUCAUUACUAUGGACUUCUCUCUUAGGUUCUUGAAAGAACCUAAAACCUACUGAAGCUCCUAGGAUUUGGGGAUGUUGUUCAAGAAAAUGGAGCGUGAAAUAGACAGACAGAUUGGUGAAGCAUCAGCAGUGAUGCAGCCGUUGUGCCAGGCUGUGGUGAAGAUGGAGCUGAACCGGGAGGCACAGCUCUCCAUUUACCCGUCGGUCGGUGUUCCUCUUCUUUCAAAACCUGAACAGCAAAUUAGCACGUUAGCAGUACUUUUCUAUUUAUGCCUCAGACAAACUAGAGCAGGGGUAGCCAACACGGUGCCCGCAGGCGCCUGGUUGCCUGCAGAGACCACGUGAGUGACACAUGUUCUAAAAAUAACACUAGUCACCAUGAAAUUCUUUAUAAAAAAAUAUAGUUGCUGUUCUUUUUGAAUCGAAAAUACUUAUAUUAAUGCAGAUUUUAAAUUACAAUAUUUAUUAUAUAUUUUUUUAAAAACAAAAAUGUCUUUGGUGUAAAUGAACUUUCACCUUGUCCGAGUCAGAGUUCACUGCGCAUGUCAAACCACCACGUCACUCUGCUGAAGCUUCCGGACGCAGCCACUUUGGGAAGCUAGAUGUGGUUUUUACCCCCAAAACAUGACAGAGAAGUGAAAGAGAAAACACUAUUUUCACGAUGACUGGGAGGAAGAGUUAUUUUUCACGACAGUGAAAGACAAAUGUAUGUGUCCUAUUUGCGGGGCGACUAUUGCGUCCGCCAAGCGGCACAAUGUGGAGAGACGCUACUUUAGCCACCACAAAGCUUCCAUGCUAACUAGCCAUGCUAACUAGCCACCUGGUAGCGCACAUAGACUGUUUGCGCACUAUGGACAGGAAAAUCCCGUUACUUAAAGGCAGCUUUGACAUCUACUACGCGGCGAAAAGUUUCUUCGUGGAGAAAAAUGUACCAUCAGAAAGGCUUGUUUUACUGACGACAGACGGGGCUCCUCCAUGACGGGUCGGCAUGCAGGCUUCAUUGUACUAUGCAGAGGUGAUCCAGACUUCCCAACAUCCCUACAUUACCACUGCAGCAUUCACCAGCAGGACAUAUGUAUGUACAAAAAUGACUGGAUUUGAUCAUGUGAUGACUCCUGUCGUGAAGAUCAUAAAUGGCUCCAAAGCCAAACAACCAGGACAUUGAAGGUGCUGCUGGAGGAGCUGUUAGCUGAACAUGGUGACCUGUUAUUACACACAGAAACCCCAUGGAUCAGCAGGGGACCAGUUUUGCAGCGUUUUUUGUCACUGUUGGCCGAAAUCAAAGAGUUGAUGCAAUCCAAAGGGGAAGACACCUCGCUGUUUGAGGACACUGAGUGGAUUCUUGUCCUUGCAUUUUUAACGGACAUCACUGAGAAACUGAACCAUCUGAACUGUGAGCUGCAAAGUAAAGAUGCUAAAAAUGGCCACAUUCCCAGAAGGUCAUGACUUCCUCAUUGGCAGCUCAGGCCCUGGAUUUUCUCCAUUUGUCCUUCAUUAUGAG